rnacentral:lncRNA from 1 species
AUGAACCAAAUCGAAGAGCGAUUAGCAGAAGAGGUCAGGAAACACGAGCACUUGUAUAACCCGUAUCGCACGGACAAGGACCCACAGACCGCGUACAAUUCCUGGAAGGUGAUCUCGGCCAGCGUUGGUUUGGAGGUGCUGGAUUGUUCGACGCUGUGGCGGAAGAUGAGGGACAGAUUUGUCCGCCAGAAUAAGGCCAUGACGGGCAGCGGUGACUCGAAAGCCACUGCCUUUUAUAUAUUCCUGUCGUGGUUGGAACCACACAUAAGACACAGAGAGACGUCGUCAAAAUACGAUAAGCCCUCACCUUGCAACGUAGCCACGAAGAAAGGACCUUCGUUAUCCACCUCAGUUUCUCGGCUCCCCAGUUUAUCGGCUCGGCGAUUAGCAGAGGAGGUCAGGAAACACGAGCACUUGUAUAACCCGUAUCGCAAGGACAAUGACCAACAGACCGCGUACAAUUCCUGGAAGAUGAUCUCGGCCAGCGUUGGUUUGGAGGUGCUGCGUUGUUCGACGCUGUGGCGGCAGAUGAGGGACAGAUUUGUCCGCGAGAAUAAGGCCAUGACGGGCAGCGGUGACCGGAAAGCCACUGCCUUUUAUAAAUUCCUGUCGUGGUUGGAACCACAUAUAAGACACAGAGAGCCGUCGUCAAAUUACGAUAAGCCCUCACCUUGCAACGUAGCCACGAAGAAAGGACCUUCGUUAUCCACCCCAACACCUGAGGCCCCCCCCGAGACAUUCACCUCAGUUUCUCCGCUCCCCAGUUUAUCGGCUCGGCGAUUAGCAGAAGAGGUCAGGAAACACGAGCACUUGUAUAACCCGUAUCGCACGGACAAGGACCCACAGACCGCGUACAAUUCCUGGAAGAUGAUCUCGGCCAGCGUUGGUUUGGAGGUGCUGGAUUGUUCGACGAUGUGGCGGAAGAUGAGGGACAGAUUUGUCCGCCAGAAUAAGGCCUUGAGGGGCAGCGGUGACCAGAAAGCCACUGCCUUUUAUAAAUUCCUGUCGUGGUUGGAACCACACAUAAGACACAGAGAGACGUCGUCAAAAUACGAUAAGCCCUCACCUUGCAACGUAGCCACGAAGAAAGGACCUUCGUUAUCCACCCCAACACCUGAGGCCCCCCCCGAAACAUCUACCUCUUCACCCGAGGCCUCUGUCCAGCCAUCCACCCCAACACCCGAGGCCUCUGUCCAGCCAUCCACCCCAGCCACACAUGAGGCCUCCCCCGAGACAUCCACCUCAGUUUCUCCGCUCCCCAGUGUACCGGCUCUGUCCACCCCUCCAGCCGCCAUGAGGCUGGCAUCUCCUCUGUCCCGCAGGGGCCGGAAGAAAAGGCAGAGGGCGCAGAGGGGGAAGCACGACAGGCAGAGGUGGCAGAGAGGGCAGAGGGGGCAGUACGACAGGCAGAGGGGGCAGGAUGACGGGCAGAGGAGGCAGGACGACAGGCAGAUGAUCCGGCUGGACGGGCAGAGGAGGCAGGACGACGGGCAGAGAGGGCAGGACGACGGGCAGAGGAGGCAGGACGACAGGCAGAUGAUCCGGCUGGACGGGCAGAGGAGGCAGGACGACGGGCAGAGAGGGCAGGACGACGGGCAGAGGAGGCAGGACGACAGGCAGAUGAUCCGGCUGGACGGGCAGAGGAGGCAGGACGACGGGCAGAUGAUCCGGCUGGACGGGCGCAGGCUGGACGGGCAGAAGAAGAAGAUGGGGGUCAGGGAUGAGUAUUCUAGAUUUGGUGAGCUGGUGGCUGCUAUGAUGAGCAGGGUGCAGGAAGAUAAGAGGGCCGAAGCAAUGAACUCUGUGUACAGCCUGUUGGACAGAAGCAAUGCACUCUGGGUACAGCCUGUUGAACUGAAGCAAUGCACUCUGGGUACAGCCUGUUGGACUGAAGCAAUGCACUCUGGGUACAGCCUGUUGGACUGAAGCAAUGCAGACUGACUGUGUACAGUGUGACGACCCCUCCACGCCACUAGGAGUCUUUUCCCUCUUGCUGGCCCUUUUCCAGGUUUCCUGUUUGGAGUGGUGGGUCAUCAGGCCUGAUGAGUUACACCUGUGGCCGGUUUGGCUCUGUGGCCUAUACCAGCACUCCUUCUCCAGUUCCCGGGAGAGAUCCCUUCCCCGUUGCAGACGGCUGCGUUUUGACUGUUGUUAUCCUUAUUUCAUUAUCUUUGUAAUAAAUGAUUGUUACUUCGUUCA